GCAGCAUAGUCUAUGCACUGCACCUAAUGUGCCUUGAACGCACCUUGAUGGCCUGAUAGCCUAUCCGUGAGCAGGGGCCAGUAUUUAAGACGGCCCUCUCCCCUGCUCUUUCGCUUCCCAAUUCACUUCCGGUAGCAGGCCGGCUUCCUUUUUACCACAGCGUGCGUCCCGCUGUGUGUACUGCUCUGUUGCUCCUGUAUGCUCCUGUUUGGCAUGGAAAUGCUGAUGUCCAGAGUUGUCCCUCUCGUCCGCCCACCUGUAUGAGUGUGUGUGUGCGCGCAUCCACUUCUGCUAAAGGUAUGUUUGUCUCUGCUGCAACUGCAUCAUCCUCAGUUAGUUGAACAGUGCUAAUAAUAUAUUCUGCUAAAGGUGAAACCACAGAUCGGACGGCUGCUGCUUUGUCUCCACUUCACUUCCAGCUUGCGUCCUGCUUUUGCCGCUUUGCUGCUGUUUUACUUGCUGCUUGGGUGGCGAUUGGCGGUUGCAGUUUCCGACGGACCUUUUGAAAAAGCUAUUAAGCUCUUUCAAAAUAAGACUCGUUGCUGCAGGCUACCUGGAGCCUUCAGGUCCCCCCUACAGUAUCUCUGCAUGGCAUGCUUGUGCUAAGCUGGAUUUGCCCUUUUAUCAAUAUGAUUGUAUGAGUGAGGUGUGGUUUAUAUGAUUUGAAUUUGGGUUAAUUGCUUAGGUUAAUUUGCUUCUUUUCUUUGUGUUUCUUUUGAUUUAGUUAAUUAGAUUUCCUUUGUUUUUCCUGUGUUAAAUGAUAUUUUGAAUUGUGUACUUUCUUUGAAUUAUUUUUCUUUGAUUUCUAUUGGGCAGUUAUUAUUUGGACAUUUAGGUUUUUCUUUGUUAGUUAUACAUCUGUUUUUUUUAGGUUUAACUUGCCCAUUAAUUGUUUUUCUUGGUUGAGUUGCGACUCUCUUAAUCUUUUCUUUUUGUUUCAGUUGUCAGAGGCCGGUGGUGGUGGUGGCGUCGGUGACUGGUGGUGGUGCCCCCCUCAUUUGAUGUGCUGUGCUCCCUGGUGGUGGUUCCUUCAAUGUGUGUGUGUGUGGGUGAUUUAUUUUUAUUUAUUUUGGGUGAACCGCUCCUGUUCACUAGUACCUGCCCACCUGGUAAGCCUCUGCUCCUGACUAGUUGCCCUUUUUUUUUGGUGUGAAUGAUUUUGAUUGUUAAUUAUUUUAACUAAUUGUAAUAAAAUAUAUUUUUAUACCUCGAA